rnacentral:lncRNA from 1 species
UGUGACGGCGAAUGUGGGGGCGGCUCCCAACAGUCACCCAUCCAUUAGUGGCUCAUGUGUUCUUAAGACAAACUCAGCAGGCUGUACCUGUCCAGAAGCACUGCAGGUCACGUGUGUGGAUCACUUGCCUGAUGUCUGAGACACUGCGGGCAGGCAGAGGCACUGGGGGCCUGAGACCCCAGCCAGUGGCUUCAGUAGCCUGCUCUUCCUCGGUCUGAGAACUCGCCCAGAAGCUGUCACUGAUGUGAUUGCAGGAACGCAGGGUGGCUGGGAUGUCACAUGCUGCCUCCUGAAGGAGGAGGAGGGGACGUCAGGGUCACGUUAGAAGGCUGCCUGUUGUAUUAAUCCACUGAAGGCAGGUCAGUCCAUCUCCAGGUUGACAGAUGAGGAGGCUGUCAGAGAGAAAGAGCAGAAUACGGUGUGUCCCAGAGCAGGUAGAAGAGCCAGGAAGCAAACUCAGGCCACCAGGCUCCGGGAGUCCUGCUCUUACCUAAUUAGGACGGGAGCCCUGUGUCAGCCCCCCACCCCCACCCCAAGUCAUGUUGUGACCCUGUAUUCUGGACCAGAGCUGACCUCAGGGGUCACAUUUGAUGCCUGCCUUCUUGGACUGUGGUGUAACAGGCCUACCAUGGAAGGCUUACCUUGUGAUUACUUUCAAAUGAGAGUGAUUAAUGUUUGCUGCGCAAUAAUAAACGUGCUUUGAAAGCAGGA